GAUGAACGCUGGCGGCGUGCCUAAUACAUGCAAGUCGAGCGAACAGACGAGGAGCUUGCUCCUCUGACGUUAGCGGCGGACGGGUGAGUAACACGUGGAUAACCUACCUAUAAGACUGGGAUAACUUCGGGAAACCGGAGCUAAUACCGGAUAAUAUAUUGAACCGCAUGGUUCAAUAGUAAAAGACGGUUUUGGUGUCACUUAUAGAUGGAUCCGCGCCGCAGUAGCUAGUUGGUAAGGUAACGGCUUACCAAGGCGACGAUGCGUAGACGACCUGAGAGGGUGAUCGGCCACACUGGAACUGAGACACGGUCAAGACUCCUACGGGAGGCAGCAGUAGGGAAUCUGCCGCAAUGGGCGAAAGCUUGACGGAGCAACGCCGCGUGAGUGAUGAAGGCCUUCGGAUCGUAAUACUCUGUUAUUAGGGAAGAACAAAUGUGUAAGUAACUAUGCACGUAUUGACGGUACCUAAUCAGAAAGCCACGGCUAACUACGUG
rnacentral:rRNA from 1 species